AUACGGAGGAUCCGAGCGUUAUCCGGAUUUAUUGGGUUUAAAGGGAGCGUAGGCGGACGCUUAAGUCAGUUGUGAAAGUUUGCGGCUCAACCGUAAAAUUGCAGUUGAUACUGGGUGUCUUGAGUACAGUAGAGGCAGGCGGAAUUCGUGGUGUAGCGGUGAAAUGCUUAGAUAUCAAGAAGAACUCCGAUUGCGAAGGCAGCCUGCUGGACUGUAACUGACGCUGAUGCUCGAAAGUGCGGGUAUCAAACAGGAUUAGAUACCCUGGUAGUCCGCACAGUAAACGAUGAAUACUCGCUGUUUGCGAUACACGGUAAGCGGCCAAGCGAAAGCGUUAAGUAUUCCACCUGGGGAGUACGCCGGCAACGGUGAAACUCAAAGGAAUUGACGGGG
rnacentral:rRNA from 1 species